rnacentral:rRNA from 1 species
GUAGGGGUGCAAGCGUUAAUCGGAAUUACUGGGCGUAAAGCGUGCGCAGGGCGGUUUUGUAAGUCUGUCGUGAAAGCCCCGGGGCUUAACCUGGGAAUUGCGAUGGAGACUGCAAGGCUUGAAUCUGGCAGAGGGGGGUAGAAUUCCACGUGUAGCAGUGAAAUGCGUAGAGAUGUGGAGGAACACCGAUGGCGAAGGCAGCCCCCUGGGUCAAGAUUGACGCUCAUGCACGAAAGCGUGGGGAGCAAACAGGAUUAGAUACCCUGGUAGUCCACGCCUUAAACGAUGUCUACUAGUUGUCGGGUCUUAAUUGACUUGGUAACGCAGCUAACGCGUGAAGUAGACCGCCUGGGGAGUACGGUCGCAAGAUUA